rnacentral:lncRNA from 1 species
AAAGCAUCUUGCUUCCAGCUCUUUGGGAAGCUAAGAAACAACUCGCUCUGCACAGUGCUCUAACAGCCUACCGGGAACAUCUCUUACAAAGGCCUGUGAAACGAAGUUUCUUUGCAGGCCUGACCUGGCAGAAGUAGAACAUCUGCUCUGGGUGUGCUACAUUGCCCUAGAGCUGCAAGGCACAAAUGCUGCCUUCUUUCCUUAAGGGCAGAUGGCCCCUAAAGCAUCUUGCUUCCAGCUCUUUGGGAAGCUAAGAAACAACUCGCUCUGCACAGUGCUCUAACAGCCUACCGGGAACAUCUCUUACAAAGGCCUGUGAAACGCAGUUUCUUUGCGGGCCUGAUCUGGCUGAAGUAGAACUUCUGCUCUGGGUGUGCUACAUUGCCCUAGAGCUGCAAGGCACAAAGUGCUGCGUUCUUUCCAUAGGGGCAGAUGGGCCCCAAAGCAUCUUUUUUUUUGUUUGUUUGUUUAUUAAUGUUAUGAUGGAUUACAAGCUUGUGAAAUUUCAGUUGUACAUUUUUGUUAGUCAUGUUGUGGGAACACCACUUCCCCCUCCGUGCCCUCCCCCCACCCCCCUUUUCCCUGGUAACCACCGAUCAGAUCUCCUUCUCAAUAUACUAAUUUCCACCUAUGAGUGGAGUCAUAUAGAGUUCGUCUUUCUCUGACUGACUUAUUUCGCUUAACAUAAUGCCCUCGAGGUCCAUCCACAUUGUUGUGAAGGGGCCAAUGUCGUCUUUUUUUAUGGCUGAGUAGUAUUCCAUUGUGUAUAUAUACCACAUCUUCUUUAUCCAAUCAUCAGUUUCUGGGCAUGUAGGCUGGUUCCACGUCUUGGCUAUUGUAAAU